UACGGGGGGAGCAAGCGUUGUUCGGAUUUACUGGGCGUAAAGGGCGCGUAGGCGGUCAGCACAAGUCAGUUGUGAAAUCUCCGGGCUUAACUCGGAAAGGUCAACUGAUACUGUGCGACUAGAGUGCGGAAGGGGCAACUGGAAUUCUCGGUGUAGCGGUGAAAUGCGCAGAUAUCAGGAAGAACACCCGUGGCGAAGGCAGCUCUCUGGGACGUGACUGACGCUGAGACGCGAAAGCGUGGGGAGCGAACAGG
rnacentral:rRNA from 1 species